AACUGUCUAGAGCUAAUCAGACACCCCACACAUCCCCCGCCCCACCCCCACCCAUCACCCCACCUGCCUGCCUUCUUCUAAACUUUAAAACAUCUAUUCUUCUUAAAAAUUAGUUGCUUUUUUAGGAGCAUACAAAGUACUUAAUGUUUCCUUGGCAGUAGAAUAUAAUGGAAUUUAACAACUAUGUAAAAACGUUAACCUUUGCCUAAGAAACAGUAUGUGCCUAUGCUUCUACCACCCAGCACCCCUAGGGAGAGACACACAGGUUCACAGGUACUCAUACGCGCACACAAAAAACCUUCUGCGGCUCAAAACCACAGUAUCACAGCCUAUCUGCAGGCAACUCACAGUAAUUGCCGAAUCCUGUUAGUGGUAAGAAAAAUCCAAAUCCUGUUUGUGGUAAGAAAAUUCAUUCAGCGAUGAAAGAAUAGUUAGCAGCCCCACUCAGCUGGCUCUAGCUCAACUCCACACGACGCUAUCACGGCUGCUUCACGCUUGCCCGGUACCCAUGUUUUACAACAAGCCUUCCUGCUCCGAAAGCAGCUGCAGUGUGGCUUUGAAGCAAAGGGGAAAGCAGAGAGACAACAUCCAGUGCUGGUGACAGACAGCAACUUUACCUCUUCGCUCUUCGCAAAGACUGAAGCCGCUCUCCAGGACCAUGAAGAGCUAGUCUGCACAGGGAUUGUAAGAGGGCAUUCAGUAGCGGGACAUCAUGAAACCGUCAGACUUGCUGUACGUCUGUAACCUGGGGCUGGGACGUCAGUCCAAACGCAAGACCUUCUCCAAAAACCCAAAAAUAGUCAUUUCCCCUGGGCGCACCGCGCAACCGACGGACUAACCACCAUUUCCGGAAGAUGGCGGCAACGCGAGCCCAAACCGUGGGCGGGAAGCCAGCCCGGAGGGCCGGGCCGAGUCGGGAGUGCACAGCUCGGCUCGGGAAGGAAGCGGCAGGAAGGUCCCGGGAAAUGCGGCCGGGAUCGCAGAACCGUGCGCCCCCGGAAGCCGCUCCGGUGCCCCCUUUCCGGGCGGAGGCCGCAGUGACGCAGACAGCGCCGGGAGCGCCCUGCUUCGUGGCACGGGCCCACGCUAUGCUCCCCAGGAGGUUUUUCUUAGGUGUAAAGCAGGGCUGGCAGCCGCAACAGAGGAGCUUGGGUUUUGUUCCUCGUUAGGAUACGCCAGCUAGAGACAGUAAACGUAAAAGCGCUAUUUGCCACAAAGGAUAAAAGCCAAGCCACGGAACCUCUCGAUUGUCAGUCAAACCGGGCUCAAGAGGAUGGAACUUCCGUAUUUCUUCCUAAGAAAACUCCCUCCCUGCACCUUUUCACCGCAGCCACUUUAGCUGGACUGGUUUCUAAUGUCAGUUGAGGGAAGGGGGCGCGCCAGGUGAAACCUAAAAUAACUUUUAAUAGAAUAAAUAGCUGCGUACGGUGGUACAUGCCUGCAGUCUCAGCACUAGCGAUGGCGAUCAGGAGUUCAAGGUCAUCCUUGACCACAAAGUGAUUUUGGGGCUAGUCUUAUGUAAUUACGCUUGACCCACAUAGGGUAUAAAACACCAUUCCACAUAAGCUUCAUUAUUUGUCAGCUUUCUUUUAGAAUCUCAACAUCCUGCAAAGGAUUUCUAAGCAGGAGUGUUCAGGUAGAAUUUAAAAGGAUGUGUGCACUACGUAAUGCACCCCUACAGCAUUCCGAGAAGGCACCCACACUUCAGAAGCAUUAAUACAGAUGCACUUCUGGUUAGGGAAUCCCGCAGUGCUGUCUGUGUGUUGUGGCGAGCCUGUAACCUGAGGCAGGGGUGAGUUGGUAUUCAGUCUGAGACCAUCUUUGCUGGGCAACCCACACUGAAAUCAUUUAAGCUCAUUUCUGUGGACCGUGGAACCAAUCUUAUCAAAAGGCACGCUCUGUAAAAGCUAAGCCUCCAGCUUUCCACCCUUCCUGAGAGCCAAGGCUGCACUGGCUGCCACUAUGCCCAGCUCUGUUUUCUUAGUACGACUCUUUUUCAGUUAUGGCUGGAUUCUAACUUUUCUUCUUAGGUGCUGGUGAUAGAGCUCAGUGUUUUACCUGAGCUGCACCUCAGCCCCUACCCCUCUACCUCCCUUUUAAGCCCAUGCCAGGCAUGAUGGAGAAUACAUUUAAACCCAGCUCUCAAAAGGCAGAUUUCAAGGGCAGCCUAGUCUACAAAGCAAGUUCCAGACCAUUCAGGAACUGCACGGUGAUAACUUUCCCCCUAAACAAAACAAAGUUAGAAAUCAAACACAUGACCGGCAGCGUAUCGAGCAAGUGCUCUACCAAAAAAGCUGUAACCAAAGUCCUGAAUACUUUCAAAACGCCCAACGAAUGGCUAUUUGCAUAACGAUAGGUUACUGCUGAGCGGACUACACAAGUGUGUCAAUACAUCUGGCUGGGCGAAACCCCUCCCAAUGGUAGUAGUCAGUCCUCGACCUCUACUAAUGAAGAUACGUGUUUACUUUAAAGCAUGCAGUUUUCCAUUCAAACGUUCGGAGAAGAGGUCUCUAAAAGCCAGCGACUGCUCAAGGCUGCUGAUUAUUAGUUUAUACCAUGCACGGGACUGUCUGUAGCUGUGGUCUUUUCAUGCGAAAAUCAGUAUCACAAGUGCUUGGUUAAGGCACUAACCCUCUGAAACAAUACAUUCCAAGUCUACAAAGUGAACUUAGGCUCUCUAGCACUUAUAAACGAUAAAAAUAAAAAUUAGGGGGGGUUGAUGUUUUGGAGACAGGGUGUCCCUGUGUAGCUCUGGCUGUCCUGAAGCACACCAUAUAAUCAGGCUUAAAGGUGUGUGGCACUACAUUUAUUUUAAAACUUAAAUUCUUACUACUUUCGAUAAUACUGACUUGGGGCCUAGGUUGAGGUAACAAGCUAAAGUUGGGAUGGGGGUAGGCUUUUCAGGAUCAAGCAGACUGGAAUAAAAAUGUAAAAUUAUGUACCUUCAAUCCCAGCACUCGGGAGGCAGAGGCAAGAGCAUCUCUAUGAGUUCGAGACCAGCCUGGUCCACAAGAGCUAGUUAGUUCCAGGACAGCCUCCAAAGUCACAAAGAAAUCCUGCCUUGAAAAAAUUGUGUACCUUCAAUAAAAUUAGCUGGUUAAAUCCAGUGAGAUGACCCUCAAACAUAAAACUGACACUUUCUCGUAUGGCAGUGUCCCGGAGACACCUAUUAGACCUGUAUCCACAUGGUAGAAUGGAUAUUUGCUUCCUCUGAGUCCACAAAAACACAUUUGUUUACAUAGGGCGUGGACUUGGCAGGUCUCUAAAGGAGCAAGUAAGUAAAAACAAAAAUACAUUGCUCUAUUUUCUUGAGGACCAGGAUCAAACAUAAAACCUUUGUCACCCUCUAUCCCACAACUUUCCUGAGUCAGUGUCUGACUGGGUUAGUCCUGGCUAACUCAUUAUAUAGACCUUGAGGACCUCAAGAGAUCCACUUCUACCUUUGGGGUGCUGGGAUAUAUGGCAUUUGUUACUAGGCCUGGCUGAUAGUCUUUGCUUUUAAAAUCUCCAUCACUGUUGAAGGCUGUCCUCGGAGCAAAGAUGCUUGUGGGAUAUUCACUUUUGGUCAAUUUCUAAGUCUCAUAUAGCUUUGAUAAUUACUUUAUAAAAUGCUUAUGCCUCAGUUACAGUCCAUCAUGUUACAGAAAAAAAUCUUCACAGUGCUUAUUAUGUCCGAUUUAACUUUAUUAGUAGCCUGUCAAGUAAAAAAGUAUUCAGAGAAAUUAGUCAUUCCAUUGCAUUCAACUUUAACUUUGUAGUCUUAUUUUUAAAGGUCAAAUCUCAGUGAGAAAGCAAUUUAUUUUCCUCCAUGUAGCCUUGAACUCACAGACCUGCCUGCCUCUGCCCAACGAGAAAGCAAUUUUUUAUAUGUCAGUUACUUAAUUUACAAAGUCUACUUUAGCUUCCGUUUCCUUAAGAAGGCAGGCAGGAUAUUGGUAGCUCUCUAGAGAACAUUGUGGCACUGCCAACUGUCCAGGAACGAGGCUGUAGAGGCCCUGCCAGAGGCGCACUAAAGCUAGUGCAUCUGCACUUUCUAGUUGCUGUCAUGGUGUGUCUUGUAGUAAUACUACAGUUUAAACGCACUGGGCUGUCAUGGUGUGUCUUGUAGUAAUACUACAGUUUAAACGCACUGGGCUGUCAUGGUGUGUCUUGUAGUAAUACUACAGUUUAAACGCACUGGGCUGUCAUGGUGUGUCUUUUAGUAAUACUACAGUUUAAACGUACGGGGCUGUUUGCGUUUCUUCUCAGAGACACUCUUUCAUAGCCCAAGUUGGCCUUGUACUCCUGACCUUCCUGCCGGCAACCUCUCAGGUGUUGGGAUUACCACAUGUGGCUACCCCAAACAUACCCCACAGGACAGGUAAUUGUCCUUAAUAACUGCAUAUUAUUCAAUGUAAUGGCUGGGACAUAAUGUAUGUAACCAUAAUGUAUGUAUCCAUUUAGCCACUUCUGAACAUUUGUAUUCUGGAUCCCA